rnacentral:rRNA from 1 species
UACGUAGGGGGCGAGCGUUGUCCGGAUUUAUUGGGCGUAAAGAGCUCGUAGGCGGUUUGGUAAGUUGGAUGUGAAAUCUCCAGGCUCAACUUGGAGGGGUCAUUCGAUACUGCCAUGACUAGAGUUCGGUAGGGGAGUGUGGAAUUCCUGGUGGAGCGGUGAAAUGCGCAGAUAUCAGGAGGAACACCGGUGGCGAAGGCGGCAUCCCUGGACCAACACUGACGCUGAGGAGCGAAAGCCAGGGGAGCAAACGGG